GUGCUCGCUUUGGCAGCACGGAUACUAAACCUGGAACGAUACAGAGAGGAUGAGCAUGGCCCCUGCGCAAGUCUGACAGGCAAAUCUGUGACGUGUUCCAUAUUUGU